CAUGUUGUUUUCUCCAUAUAACAGCUGCGGCUCCAAAUACAAUCAUCAGAGCCAAAACCACCAGAACUGAAGGAAUCACUGAUUUAAAUGGUUCCCUGUGAUCAUACUCUGAAACAUGAACCACAGACUGAGAGACUGACUUUUUUUGUUUUUGUUUUGAUUGUUAAAUGAUGUUUUCUGUAAGAGCUCAUUACCCAAAGUGACAUCCAGUUUGUUGUCCAGACUGAGGUGUGUGGCAGAGCAGGUGUAUUUGUGUUUGUCUGCACUGAUCUCCAGACUCUUCCUCAUCUGGUACGUCCCGUCACCAUUGGGCAGCAGAUCUCCUCCAGUGAUCUCAUGAUCAGAUACAGGCUGUCCAUCUCUGAACAGGGUCAGGUUGAUGUGACGAGGGUAAAAUCCUGUCGCCAAACAACUCACACGAAACCCUCCAGAAUCUGAGUUUGCUUUCUGAAUGAGUCUGACUCGCGGUUUCACUGUAGAAGGAAACAAUGAGAGAAA